GAUGAACGCUGGCGGCGUGCUUAACACAUGCAAGUCGAACGGUGAACGAGGGAGCUUGCUCCCUCCGGAUCAGUGGCGAACGGGUGAGUAACACGUGAGCAAUCUGCCCUGGACUCUGGGAUAAGCGUUGGAAACGACGUCUAAUACCGGAUACGAGACGCGAAGGCAUCUUCAGCGUCUGGAAAAAACUUCGGUCCAGGAUGAGCUCGCGGCCUAUCAGGUAGUUGGCGAGGUAACGGCUCACCAAGCCUACGACGGGUAGCCGGCCUGAGGGGGCGACCGGCCACACCGGGACUGAGACACGGCCCAGACUCCUACGGGAGGCAGCAGUGGGGAAUAUUGCACAAUGGGCGCAAGCCUGAUGCAGCAUCGCCGCGUGAGGGACGACGGCCUUCGGGUUGUAAACCUCUUUUAGCAGGGAAGAAGCGAAAGUGACGGUACCUGCAGAAAAAGCACCGGCUAACUACGUGCCAGCAGCAGCCGCCGUAA
rnacentral:rRNA from 1 species